AGCGAACGCUGGCGGCAGGCCUAACACAUGCAAGUCGAGCGCCGUAGCAAUACGGAGCGGCAGACGGGAGAGUAACACGUGGGAACGUACCCUUUGGUUCGGAACUACCCAGGGAAACUUGGGCUAAUACCGAAUAAGCCCUCACGGGGAAAGAUUUAUCGCCGAAGGAUCGGCCCGCGUCUCAUUAGCUAGUCGGUGGGGUAAUGGCCCACCAAGGCGACGAUCAGUAGCUGGUCUGAGAGGAUGAUCAGCCUCACUGGGACUGAGACACGGCCCAGACUCCUACGGGAGGCAGCAGUGGGGAAUAUUGGACAAUGGGCGCAAGCCUGAUCCAGCCAUGCCGCGUGGGUGAUGAAGGCCCUAGGGUUGUAAAGCCCUUUCGGCGGGGAAGAUAAUGACGGUACCCGCAGAAGAAGCCCCGGCUAACUUCGUGCCAGCCGCCGCCGUAAGAC
rnacentral:rRNA from 1 species